UGAUUAUUUUCCAUCCAUUCUUGCCCUUCCUUCAGACUGAAUCAUGAAGAAAGAUUGCAUUUGAAAAGAUGGAAUUUGAAAAGAAAUGAGGCCUGAGCUCUGUGUGCUACUGGAAAAUGAGACCAUUUUU